UUGGAGGGCAAGUCUGGUGCCAGCAGCCGCGGUAAUUCCAGCUCCAAUAGCGUAUAUUAAAGUUGUUGCAGUUAAAAAGCUCGUAGUUGAAUUUCGGGAUUAGUGCGCCGGUCGUGCCUUCGGUAUGUACUGGUGUUACUGGUUCCUACCUUCUGACGAACCGUCAUGUCAUUAAUUUGGUGUGGCGGGGAAUCAGGACUGUUACUUUGAAAAAAUUAGAGUGUUUAAAGCAGGCUAACGCUUGAAUACAUUAGCAUGGAAUAAUGAAAUAGGACGAUCGAUCCUAUUUUGUUGGUUUCUAGGAUUGACGUAAUGAUUAAUAGGGAUAGUUGGGGGCAUUAGUAUUCAAUUGUCAGAGGUGAAAUUCUUGGAUUUAUUGAAGACUAACUACUGCGAAAGCAUUUGCCAAGGAUGUUUUCAUUAAUCAAGAACGAAAGUUAGGGGAUCGAAGACGAUCAGAUACCGUCGUAGUCUUAACCAUAAACUAUGCCGACUAGGGAUCGGAUGAUGUUAAUUUUUUAAUGACUCAUUCGGCGCCUUACGGGAAA
rnacentral:rRNA from 1 species